rnacentral:lncRNA from 1 species
GCCUAGCUUUGUUUUUCUUUUUUUAUUAUGUUGAGUAAUUCCUAAUUGAAAUGUCUGUUCUUUGAGAGAAAAGAUUGAAUUUUUUGUAUUUGUAAGGACUCGCGAUCCAGAUUAACCUCGUUGAUGAGGAUUGCACCUUCAAUUUGAACAUCAUGUACGUUUCAUGGCGGCUUUGUCUAUUUUCAGAAAUGUCAUGAUGUUACCUUUGAAUUUUUU